CCUACGGGCGGCUGCAGUGGGGGAUAUUGGACAAUGGGGGGAACCCUGAUCCAGCCAUGCCGCGUGUGUGAAGAAGGCCCUCGGGUUGUAAAGCACUUUCAGUGAGGAAGAACGCCUGGUGGUUAAUACCCAUCAGGAAAGACAUCACUCACAGAAGAAGCACCGGCUAACUCCGUGCCAGCAGCCGCGGUAAUACGGAGGGUGCGAGCGUUAAUCGGAAUUACUGGGCGUAAAGCGCGCGUAGGUGGCUUGAUAAGCCGGUUGUGAAAGCCCCGGGCUCAACCUGGGAACGGCAUCCGGAACUGUCAAGCUAGAGUGCAGGAGAGGAAGGUAGAAUUCCCGGUGUAGCGGUGAAAUGCGUAGAGAUCGGGAGGAAUACCAGUGGCGAAGGCGGCCUUCUGGACUGACACUGACACUGAGGUGCGAAAGCGUGGGUAGCAAACAGGAUUAGAUACCCCUGUAGUC
rnacentral:rRNA from 1 species